rnacentral:rRNA from 1 species
UGAACGCUGGCGGUAUGCUUAACACAUGCAAGUUUGACGGUUUAUUGCUUGCAAUUUAACCGUGGCGGACGGGUGAGUAAUAUGUAAGAAUCUACCUUCGGGUGAGGGAUAACGAAUGGAAACGUUUGCUAAUACCUCAUAAUGCUAUUAAGUUAAAGAUUUUUCGCCCGAAGAUGAGCUUGCAUCUGAUUAGCUUGUUGGUGAGGUAAUUGCUUACCAAGGCAAUGAUCAGUAGUUGAUUUAAGAGAAUGAUCAACCACACUGGGACUGAGAUACGGAACAGACUUCUACGGAAGGCAGCAGUGGGGGAAUAUUGCACAAUGGGCGUAAGCCUGAUGCAGCAAUACCGCGUGGAGGAUGAAGGUUUUAGAAUUGUAAACUCCUUUUCUCUUAGAAGAAUAGUUGACGGUAUUUGAGGAAUAAGCAUCGGCCAAUUCUGCGCCAGCAG